GGGUUGUGAGGUUAAGCGACUAAGCGUACACGGUGGAUGCCCUGGCAGUCAGAGGCGAUGAAGGGCGUGCUAAUCUGCGAUAAGCGCCGGUAAGGUGAUAUGAACCGUUAUAACCGGCGAUACCCGAAUGGGGAAACCCAGUGUGACUCGUCACACUAUUAUUAACUGAAUCCAUAGGUUAAUGAGGCGAACCGGGGGAACUGAAACAUCUAAGUACCCCGAGGAAAAGAAAUCAACCGAGAUUCCCCCAGUAGCGGCGAGCGAACGGGGAGGAGCCCAGAGCCUGAAUCAGCAUGUGUGUUAGUGGAAGCGUCUGGAAAGACGCGCGAUACAGGGUGACAGCCCCGUACACAAAAGCGCAUGUGUUGUGAGCUCGAUGAGUAGGGCGGGACACGUGGUAUCCUGUCUGAAUAUGGGGGGACCAUCCUCCAAGGCUAAAUACUCCUGACUGACCGAUAGUGAACCAGUACCGUGAGGGAAAGGCGAAAAGAACCCCGGCGAGGGGAGUGAAAAAGAACCUGAAACCGUGUACGUACAAGCAGUGGGAGCACAGGUUUACCUGUGUGACUGCGUACCUUUUGUAUAAUGGGUCAGCGACUUAUAUUCUGUAGCAAGGUUAACCGAAUAGGGGAGCCGGAGGGAAACCGAGUCUUAAUUGGGCGUUAAGUUGCAGGGUAUAGACCCGAAACCCGGUGAUCUAGCCAUGGGCAGGUUGAAGGUUGGGUAACACUAACUGGAGGACCGAACCGACUAAUGUUGAAAAAUUAGCGGAUGACCUGUGGCUGGGGGUGAAAGGCCAAUCAAACCGGGAGAUAGCUGGUUCUCCCCGAAAGCUAUUUAGGUAGCGCCUCGUGAA
rnacentral:rRNA from 1 species